CAGCAACGACUUCACCACCAGAAACAACUCGGACGACUGCACCACCAGAAACAACUUGGACGACUGCACCACCAGAAACAACAGGACACAGGUCCUGUCGUUACAACUGUGGUUAUGACCUGGGAGUCUGCUCCUGCCGCAGCUCGUGUAACUACUAUGGUACCUGUUGCUAUGACUACAACAACUACUGCGCUGGAACGACAACAGCACCUCCAGAAACCACAGGUAGGAUCCUCAGUUUUGCUAAAUGAACAUGCUCUUAAUAGACAAACA